rnacentral:rRNA from 1 species
UACGAAGGGGGCUAGCGUUGUUCGGAGUUACUGGGCGUAAAGGGCGCGUAGGCGGUCCUGCAAGUCGGGUGUGAAAGCCCACGGCUCAACCGUGGAAUUGCACUCGAGACUGAAGGGCUCGAGGACGGGAGAGGAUGGUGGAAUUCCCAGUGUAGAGGUGAAAUUCGUAGAUAUUGGGAAGAACACCGGUGGCGAAGGCGGCCAUCUGGACCGUAUCUGACGCUGAGGCGCGAAAGCGUGGGGAGCAAACAGG